rnacentral:rRNA from 1 species
AGUGAACGCUGGCGGUAGGCCUAACACAUGCAAGUCGAACGGCAGCACAGGAGAGCUUGCUCUCUGGGUGGCGAGUGGCGGACGGGUGAGGAAUGCAUCGGAAUCUACUCUUUCGUGGGGGAUAACGUAGGGAAACUUACGCUAAUACCGCAUACGACCUACGGGUGAAAGCCGGGGACCUUCGGGCCUGGCGCGAAAGAAUGAGCCGAUGCCCGAUUAGCUAGUUGGCGGGGUAAGAGCCCACCAAGGCGACGAUCGGUAGCUGGUCUGAGAGGAUGAUCAGCCACACUGGAACUGAGACACGGUCCAGACUCCUACGGGAGGCAGCAGUGGGGAAUAUUGGACAAUGGGCGCAAGCCUGAUCCAGCCAUACCGCGUGGGUGAAGAAGGCCUUCGGGUUGUAAAGCCCUUUUGUUGGGAAAGAAAAGCAGUCGGUUAAUACCCGAUUGUUCUGACGGUACCCAAAGAAUAAGCAC